GUCCAUAUUGUUCUGGUUUCGUUGGUAAGGCUCCAUACUCUUCCUGCUUCUUUGGUGAGGCUCCAUAUUGCUCCAGUUUAUUUGAUAAGACUCGACAUCACUCUGGUUUCCUUGGUAAGGCUCCAUAUUGUUCAGGUUUCUUUGGUAAGGGUCCAUAUUGUUCUGGUUUCGUUGGUGAGGCUCCGUACUCUUCCUGCUUCUUUGGUGAGGCUCCAUAUUUUUCCAGUUUCUUUGAUGAGGCUCGACAUCAUUCUGGUUUCCCUGGUAAGGCUCCAUAUUGUUCAGGUUUCUUUUGUGAGGCUCCAUGUUGUUCAGGUUUCUUUGGUAAGGGUCCAUAUUGUUCUGGUUUCGUUGGUGAGGUUCCAUACUCUUCCUGCUUCUUUGGUGAGGUUCCAUACUGUUCCAGUUUCUUUGAUAAGGCUCGACAUCACUCUGGUUUCCUUGGUAAGGCUCCAUAUUGUUCAGGUUUCUUUUGUGAGGCUCCACAUUGUUCUUAUUUGUUUGGUUAUUCUCCAUAUUGUUUGGGUUUCUUUGGCGAGGUUCCAUAUCAUUCUGGUUCUGAGAGAAAGUUUUCAGACUGUUCUGGCUUUUUUGUGAAGAUUCCAAAUUGUUCUGUUUUUCUUGAUGAGGUUCCAUAUCAUUCUGGUUCUGAGAGAAAGUUUUCAGACUGUUCUGGCUUUUUUGUGAAGAUUCCAAGUUGUUCUGUUUUUCUUGGUGAGGUUCCAUAUU
rnacentral:lncRNA from 1 species